rnacentral:rRNA from 1 species
CCUACGGGAGGCAGCAGUGAGGAAUAUUGGUCAAUGGGCUUAAGCCUGAACCAGCCAAGACGCGUGAGGGAAGACUGCCCUAUGGGUUGUAAACCUCUUUUGUCAGGGAGCAACGCCGGCUACGUGUAGCCGGACUGAGAGUACCUGAAGAAAAAGCAUCGGCUAACUCCGUGCCAGCAGCCGCGGUAAUACGGAGGAUGCGAGCGUUAUCCGGAUUGAUUGGGUUUAAAGGGUGCGUAGGCGGAAUGCCAAGUCAGCGGUAAAAUCGCGGGGCUCAACCUCGCUCCGCCGUUGAAACUGGCGUUCUUGAGUGGGCGAGAAGUAUGCGGAAUGCGUGGUGUAGCGGUGAAAUGCAUAGAUAUCACGCAGAACUCCGAUUGCGAAGGCAGCAUACCGGCGCCCAACUGACGCUGAAGCACGAAAGCGUGGGUAUCGAACAGGAUUAGAUACCCGGGUAGUC